rnacentral:rRNA from 1 species
UACGUAGGGGGCAAGCGUUGUCCGGAAUCAUUGGGCGUAAAGCGCGCGUAGGCGGCCCGGUAAGUCCGCCCUGAAAGUCCAGGGCUCAACCCUGGAAAGCGGGUGGAUACUGCCGGGCUAGAAUCCGGAAGAGGCGAGUGGAAUUCCUGGUGUAGCGGUGGAAUGCGCAGAUAUCAGGAGGAACACCGGUGGCGAAGGCGGGUCUCUGGGCCGUAACUGACGCUGAGGAGCGAAAGCAUGGGGAGCGAACAGG